ACCUAUUAAAAUUUAAAGUUGGUAUUUUAAUUUUUAAAUUACUUAAAUUAAAGUAUAAAUAAAUAUUAAUUUACUUAUUUGAUGGAUUUUGUAAUGUUAAUGUAAAUUGGCUAUUUGCCAUUAGUAAAGUAUGAAGGUCUUCAAUAUUAUCGGGUGUUGCAGGAAUUGACUUUUGCCUCAGACGACGCAUCCUUUCAGACCCUUGUAAAAAGGUGUAGUCCUUAGCAGCAUUUGGAAACUAUUAAGUACCUAAAUAAAACAAAUUGCAACUAUUAAAGGACAUUUAUUUCAUUUGUAGUCUUGUAGAAUAGUAUAAAGAAUAUGUAUGACUUGACAAUCAAUUCCAUGUAUAUUCCUCUGUAUAUUCCUCUAGAGGAAUAUGAACAUACAGUUUUUUGUAAUGCUUUCUCUGUCAACUUUUGCCUCAAUAAUGGUACCUCCUCGUUGAAUGGUCUUACUUGAUGAUUGUGUUGUGUAAUGAUAUGUUCAAAUUUACAUAUCAUAAAUUUUGUAAAUUCGUUAUUUUCAUUUAAUAAAAUAUAUAACGGUCGA